UACGUAGGUCCCGAGCGUUGUCCGGAUUUAUUGGGCGUAAAGCGAGCGCAGGUGGUUUAUUAAGUCUGGUGUAAAAGGCAGUGGCUCAACCAUUGUAUGCAUUGGAAACUGGUAGUCUUGAGUGCAGGAGAGGAGAGUGGAAUUCCAUGUGUAGCGGUGAAAUGCGUAGAUAUAUGGAGGAACACCGGUGGCGAAAGCGGCUCUCUGGCCUGUAACUGACACUGAGGCUCGAAAGCGUGGGGAGCAAACAGG
rnacentral:rRNA from 1 species